GGCAGAUGGACAAUGAUCCAGUUAUGAACAAAGCGUGUUGAGAUGCAUUAUGUCCCUGCAUAUCAGAUCAGGUGAAAGGGGAGGCCACACACACCGCCACCCCACCUCACCCCAGCUGCUUCAAUUCCAGGUGCCAUGUUUACCUGAUCAGGAGGUCAUUUGUGCAAACCAGCAGAUCUGCCUUUGCAAUCUCUCCUAUAUGCUAAUGUUUUCAGCUCAAGAGUUGUCAACCCAAGUUCGUAUUUCAACAGACUCAACAGAGAAAUCCAAACACCUCUCUGUGAAGUGUUUUUGGAGUUGAUCCCCUGCUGAAAGUCUCCUCUAAGGUAAUGGUUACAAAUGACAGCAAGCGUAUUGUAAAGAAAAUUUCUGAAAAAUGUUUCAUCAAAAGAACUUGUGAAUUCUAUAGUCUGCGUUAUUUCUCUCAACACCAGCAGUAACCUCUGUCAGUCUUGCUAGUAAAUAUCUGUGCAAGUCUCUGUUCUGGUUAUUUUGCGUUCAGUUUUUUAGUAAUACUUCCACUUCCUGUGCUGUUGUCUAACUUUGGCAGUUGCAUAUUGUGUUUGUUUUAUCUUUUCGUUUUUUGCAGUUGUCUGGUAUCAAUAUGUUGAGUUUUUC
rnacentral:lncRNA from 1 species